GAGGGUAUAGCUCAGUGGCAGAGCGCAUGCCCAGCAUGCAAAAGGUCCUGGGUUCAAUCCCUGGUACCUCCA
rnacentral:tRNA from 1 species